AUGGCGUAAAGCCAAAUGAACAAGAGGGCAGAGACCCGGACCCGGACCCUAGUUUCAGGGUGGUCACAUUGCUCAGUUUAACAAAGAGCUCAGUGCCCCUCCAAAGACAGGCGGAGGUAUACUGCCUUGGAAUGACUGGUAUCCUGAUUACAGGGCAGUCACACUCACUAACCAGCUAACGGAGACCCUCAGGGCCUCAGAGACGCAAACUCUAGUUACAGGGAGGUCAAGCUGCCCAUGUUACUGAAAUGUUUCUAAACCCCCAGAUUUCAAAAGCGAGAUACAACCUGUACCCUGAUUACAG